UACGGAGGGUGCAAGCGUUAUCCGGAUUCACUGGGUUUAAAGGGCGCGUAGGUGGCCACUAUAAGUCCGCGGUGAAAGUUCGGGGCUCAACCCUGAAUCUGCCGCGGAGACUGUGGGGCUUGGGCACUGUAGAGGCAGAUGGAAUUCCGGGUGUAGCGGUGGAAUGCGUAGAGAUCCGGAAGAACACCGGUGGCGAAGGCGGUCUGCUGGGCAGUGGACCCGUGAGGGUCCAAUAGCCGACACUGAUGCGCGACAGCGUGGGGAGCAAACAGG
rnacentral:rRNA from 1 species